UUGCUUUGGCAACACAGAUACUAAAAUUGGAAUGAUACAGAGAUUAGCCCCUGCGCAAGGAUGAUAUGCAAAUUUGUGAAGCAUUCCAUAUUUUU
rnacentral:snRNA from 1 species